rnacentral:rRNA from 1 species
AGCAGUAGCCGCGGGAAUACGUAGGGUGCAAGCGUUGUCCGGAAUUAUUGGGCGUAAAGAGCUCGUAGGCGGUUUGUCGCGUCUGCUGUGGAAUCCCGAGGCUCAGCCUCGGGCUUGCAGUGGGUACGGGCAGGCUAGAGUGCGGUAGGGGAGAUUGGAAUUCCUGGUGUAGCGGUGGAAUGCGCAGAUAUCAGGAGGAACACCGAUGGCGAAGGCAGAUCUCUGGGCCGUAACUGACGCUGAGGAGCGAAAGCAUGGGGAGCGAACAGGAUUAGAGACCCCCGUAGUCCCUGUCUCUUAUAC